rnacentral:rRNA from 1 species
AACGAACGCUGGCGGCAUGCCUAACACAUGCAAGUCGAACGAGAUCUUCGGGUCUAGUGGCGCACGGGUGCGUAACGCGUGGGAAUCUGCCCUUUGGUUCGGAAUAACAGUUGGAAACGACUGCUAAUACCGGAUGAUGACGAAAGUCCAAAGAUUUAUCGCCAGAGGAUGAGGCCCGCGUAGGAUUAGCUAGUUGGAGUGGUAAAGGCGCACCAAGGCGACGAUCCUUAGCUGGGCUGAGAGAAUGAUCAGCCACACUGGGACUGAGACUCGGCCCAAACUCGUACGGNNGGCAGCAGUGGUAAAUAUUGGACAGUGGGCGAAAGCCUGAUCCAGCAAUGCAGCAUGAGUGAUGAAGGCCUUAGGGUUGUAAAGCUCUUUUACCCGGGAUGAUAAUGACAGUACCGGGAGAAUAAGCUCCGGCUAACUCCGUGCCAGCAGCCGCAGUAA